rnacentral:rRNA from 1 species
CAGCAGCCACGGUAAUACGUAGGUGGCAAGCGUUGUCCGGAAUUAUUGGGCGUGAAGGGCUCGCAGGCGGUUUCUUAAGUCUGAUGUGAAAGCCCCCGGCUCAACCGGGGAGGGUCAUUGGAAACUGGGAAACUUGAGUGCAGAAGAGGAGAGUGGAAUUCCACGUGUAGCGGUGAAAUGCGUAGAGAUGUGGAGGAACACCAGUGGCGAAGGCGACUCUCUGGUCUGUAACUGACGCUGAGGAGCGAAAGCGUGGGGAGCGAACAGGAUUAGAGACCCCGGUAGUCCCUGUCUCUUAUAC